rnacentral:rRNA from 1 species
CCUACGGGUGGCUGCAGUGGGGAAUAUUGGGCAAUGGGCGCAAGCCUGACCCAGCAACGCCGCGUGAGGGAAGAAGGCUUUCGGGUUGUAAACUUCUUUUAGGCGGGAAGAGCAGAAGACGGUACCUCUUGAAUAAGCCACGGCUAACUACGUGCCAGUAGCCGCGGUAAUACGGAGGUGGCAAGCGUGUUCCGGAUUUACUGGGUGUAAAGGGCGUGCAGCCGGGAAGACAAGUCAGAUGUGAAAUCCCGCGGCUCAACCGCGGACCUGCCGUUGAAACUGUUGUUCUUGAGUACCAGAGAGGUCAUCGGAAUGCCUUGUGUAGCGGUGAAAUGCGUAGAUAUAAGGAAGAACACCAGUGGCGAAGGCGGAAGGCCGG